rnacentral:rRNA from 1 species
UACGGGGGGGGCAAGCGUUGUUCGGAAUCACUGGGCUUAAAGGGCGCGUAGGCGGGCUGCCAAGUCUGGGGUGAAAUCCCACGGCUCAACCGUGGAACUGCCUCGGAUACUGGCGGCCUCGAGGGAGGUAGGGGCGUGCGGAACUGUGGGUGGAGCGGUGAAAUGCGUUGAUAUCCACAGGAACUCCGGUGGCGAAGGCGGCACGCUGGACCUUUUCUGACGCUGAGGCGCGAAAGCCAGGGGAGCAAACGGG